rnacentral:lncRNA from 1 species
CAAUUAAGCCUUUGUCUAUUCGUCUUCCCCAUUUAGUCACUCCAAGCCUCCUACCUGAUUGAGAACCUUAACCACAGCAAAAGAGAUUGUGGAGGGCUAGUAGGUGAUGGCAGUGAAGAUGUAGGCAAUGGCGAUGAUGAUGCGGGAGCCAUGGCUGAAGACUAGGAGGGCAGCGAGGUGGUAGGAGUUUGAGAGCUUCGACGAGAUUAAAGGUUUGAGAGUUGUACGCUUUCUUUUUUUUUUUCAUUUUAUCCUCUUUUUCAGAGAUCUAC